GAGUUUGAUCUUGGCUCAGAUUGAACGCUGGCGGCAUGCCUCACACAUGCAAGUCGAACGGCAGCAUGAUCUAGCUUGCUAGAUUGAUGGCGAGUGGCGAACGGGUGAGUAAUACAUCGGAACGUGCCCUGUAGUGGGGGAUAACUAGUCGAAAGAUUAGCUAAUACCGCAUACGACCUGAGGGUGAAAGUGGGGGACCGCAAGGCCUCAUGCUAUAGGAGCGGCCGAUGUCUGAUUAGCUAGUUGGUGGGGUAAAGGCCCACCAAGGCGACGAUCAGUAGCUGGUCUGAGAGGACGAUCAGCCACACUGGGACUGAGACACGGCCCAGACUCCUACGGGAGGCAGCAGUGGGGAAUUUUGGACAAUGGGCGAAAGCCUGAUCCAGCAAUGCCGCGUGUGUG
rnacentral:rRNA from 1 species